GCCUCGCGCCCCCGUCCCUGCCCGGUUCUCGUCACCGGCCGCCGCCUCGAGCCGCGGCACGAGCGCGUGGGAGAGGUGCCGGCGGUUGAGCGCAACGCCGCAGGAGAGGCGCGCCGGUGGAGCGGCGACGUCCAGAGAGCGGAGCACCCAACGAUUGUGGUCAGCGGCGAGGCGCCCUUGUGAUAUACGGCCACGGCGGCAUCCGCUGCUCAGCGGUUGGCCUGGAGACGGAGGCCGCCACCUAAGAGAUGGAAACGAGGACGACCUGCUGAGGAAGAGCAUGACCAGACGGCGGCCCGGAGACAGACAACGACGCUGAGCCGUGAAGAGCCGCCCCUGGGACAUCCCUUUUGGGCGCAUCCGGGAAGGAGUGCUCGACUCCGUUUUGGCCGGCCGGACGACGACCAGCAGCCCAAGAUGUUGGCCAACAGCACAGCGGCCAGCUCUCUUCUGCCUAUUCUUUUUGCAAAGAUCUACAGUUUUUUCAUGAAGGUGGAUUUGGACCUUGGGAACUAAAUGAUGAAGCAAUUUAUCCAAUGCUGCAACACUCAGAUUUCUAAAUAUCAUGUAGAGAUGUUGUUGUGCCGGUGGAUUGCUCUCGGUGGCGAUGCAUGUUGUUCGAUAUUCAAGUUUUGCUCUCAAUCCCCUGCCAUCCCUUCCCUGCCUUUUUUUUCACAUUACAAGAUUGAUUCAGUUCUUCCAUAUUCAAACACUGUACCUGAAUAUUUAUGGGUUGUGUUUCGGGCCUAGAUUCGUUGCGGAAGAGCUACUUUUACACAUACUGAUAAUGGUGCUGCUACGAUGAGGAUCUGAGCUCUCUCGGCAACAAUGCUUGCCGUCACGCUCAUCAACCAAGCGGCGAGGUGAAGCUACCGCUGCUAAAAAUAGUGUUGGAACCUUGAGGCAGUGGACAGUCCAGGGAAUUAGCAUAUAAAAUGCAGUAUGUAGCUGGCCUUGAUGUUUCAUGCUAGAGGGACAUGUAAUUGUUUAGCAACUAAGAAGCUUCAACCAUGUUUACGUGACACAGUCUGCUAAGAUCAUCUGUGAGGAGUAUCCUGCAUCAAAGUAUCAGACAUGGAAAUGCCUGCCUAUUCUAUACGCAAGAAAAUUGAUGUAUUUCUCGGAAUAUGGAUAAUUACACUUGAAGAAGCAAGGCAUGAAAAAGAGUAAUGAAUAUUCUUCGAAGCAUAUCUAUAAUUAGUACCAUGCAUGUGAUGAUGUGCUACAGAGAUUUUUUUUUUUUGGUGUGAAGAAUACUUCUUUUAGUAUUUCUCAUUUUAAAAAAUCACCUUUACUAAGCACUGCAUAUAGUUUGUUGCCAUCUGUAAUUUUUAUGGCGAUCUGGCAAUGAUAGUACAAAUAUAUUCACGAGAGAUAUUGUUUCUUUUAUUUCUUUGUGGAGCCUUGCAGUGAUAUUUAUCUAUUUGUGAUAAAAUACUAACUCUGCACACUAAAUCCUGAAUUGAGUUUGUCUUAACAAAGUGUAUGUGGUUUUGACAAAAAAAGGUAAGAGUUUGUUUUAACACAGUGUAUGUGGGUUUGACAAAAAAAAGUCAGUUUAUCAGAUUGAGAAGGAGAUGGACGAGGAAUUUGGCUUGGGACUGCUAGCUCCUCCAUAGUUCAGAUUAUGUCUUACCACGUUGACAGAGUGUAGUCUCCAUUGUGAGAGCUGACACACUGUUCCUUCCAUUUUUAAAAAUAAAUUCUACUCGGCAGGAAAAUAAAUAACCUCUAUUACUUUUUGUCAAGGCACGCAAUUGAUCCUUGGAAGACUUCCACCUAUUCAUGCACGGGCCCUUUAUUUUCUAUGACUCUGCCAAUCAAUACCCACCUGAUUUUAAUGAGCUGAUGUUCUUACAACAUUUCGAAGAAUAUGGCCAUCAAACUACCUUAUUUUUUCUAACCAUACUGCUCACUGCCUUCUGGUUCUAGGAUUUAAGUUUGAUAUAAACAAUUCCCGAAUCACUGCCGGAUCGCUCGAAUUGAAUUCAGCCCACACCAGUUUAGCAAAAUGAUACCUUAAGGGCAUGGAAAGGCAAGCUAAGGCUGUUGCCAAUAGAGCAAAGUGGAAGAUUGAGAUGUAUAUACUGACCCAACUGGUGAAAAUAAGGAAGUAUCCGCACCGGUGAAACGGAAGCUUUGUUUCAGAACUACUGUCCUGACUACUGUCAUCACCCAUCCAUCCUAACGCAUGGAAAAAAAAGAAAUCCACCAAGAAAUUAUUCCCACCUAAGUAAAAAAGCUCCACCUUGGCAAGUAAGCAUCUAAAAUAAAUGCAUGCAUUCACACAUCAGGCAGACUCAACUGGUGAAAAUAAGGAAGUAUCCGCACCGGUGAAACGGAAGCUUUGUUUCAGAACAACCGUCCUGAUUACUGUUACCAGAAAUAUCACCUGUAGUAUUAUUUGCUUCUAGAACUACUAAUCAUGUAUACUCUCGGCAUUAUGUAAUAUUAAGUGCCUAAAUAACUUUGUAUAAUUAUCUCAAGUAUCUUCUGUUUAUCACUGACUAUUGUUGUGGUGUCUAUAUAUAAUCAUGUCAAC